rnacentral:tmRNA from 1 species
GGGGACGUAAGGGUUCGACAGGGGAGGUAGGCUGCAGGGUGGCAGGCCGAGGUGCCGCCAACCUCGUAAAACAGGUGGCAAAAAAUUAACUGACGAACCAGUUCUUCUUGCCGCCUAACUAAUUAGGCAGCACAUCCAACCCGACCCCCCUCAAUGGGUUGGGAUUGGGUGCCGCAAAAUUGGGGUGCCGCCGCCGCAACGCCGAUAGUGGCGGUGAAAGAAAAAAUCGGCUGGUCGGGCUAAACUCGGUCAGCAGAGGCUAGCCGGAUAAGAUUAAAGAGCUGACUAAGCCUGUAGUGUAUUCUGGGCAGCCUCUUCUGGACGGGGAGUUCGACUCUCCCCCGUCUCCACCA